GAUGAAGAACGUGGCGAAAUGCGAUAAGUAAUGUGAAUUGCAGAAUUCAGUGAAUCAUCGAAUCUUUGAACGCACAUUGCGCCCGCCAGUAUUCUGGCGGGCAUGCCUGUUCGAGCGUCAUUACAACCCUCAGGCCCCCGGGCCUGGCGUUGGGGAUCGGCGGAAGCCCCCUGCGGGCACAACGCCGUCCCCCAAAUACAGUGGCGGUCCCGCCGCAGCUUCCAUUGCGUAGUAGCUAACACCUCGCAACUGGAGAGCGGCGCGGCCACGCCGUAAAACACCCAACUUCUGAAUGUUGACCUCGAAUCAGGUAGGAAUACCCGCUGAACUUAAGCAUAUCAAUAAGCGGAGGA
rnacentral:misc_RNA from 1 species